ensembl:lncRNA
GGGAUGCUGUGGGGAGGGCUCAGGGCUAGGUACAGCAAGGAGCAAAUACUUCCCUGCUGAGCUAGAGCCACGGCACAGCUCUCCUUCGUGCUCCCUGGCAUCUCAGCUCCUCACCUGGGUGGAAGGAGAGAGGGUUCAGAGGCUGGAGGGAAGUGGUUGUUCGGGGGAGGCACAGAUGCAGCGGAUGGGUGAUGUUACAUGGGACUCUUUGUGUUUCCUCCUCCUGGCUGCACCCCUCACCUCUCUACUCCUCAGUGUCAUCUGUGACAAAUCUGCACCGUUGACAUGGGAUUUACUAGCGUUCUCUCUUUGGUACCAGACAUCACAAAUAGAAGAGUUCUUGAUCGCACUUCUUGAUGCUUAUGCAUUUUUCACUCUGUGUGGUUUUCUUUCUUUUGCCCCCUCCAUCAACCGAAACAGCACCCCCCUCCUCAGUCUGUGUCUAGAGCAGCUCAUUUCUUUGCUGUGCCAGGUCCCACACGUGAGUUGCACUUUUCUGCCUCCUCUCUCAGCUGAUCUGAUCUCCUCUCGUUUCCUCCUCGCUAAUCACAGCCUUCCCCAGCUUUGGUUAUGCUGCCCCCCUGCUCCAGACCUUAGUCAUGCUCAGAGUGUUUAUAAAUCUGAAUGCAGCCUCAAAUAUAAAGCCGUGCUGUCGCUGAGUUUCGUUAGCGUGCUCAAUCUCUGCUGAGGGCGAAGCACUCGAGGAAUUUCAAACUGCUUUGCUUUCCUAAAACUUUAUUUAGCAUAGUGGGCUUGUGUGUAUGUAACUACCAGUACAGAUUUGUCUUAAUUUUGCAGUGUGCUUUACAGUAACUUGUAGGAGCCACAAUGAGUCUGUGGGAGGGAGGUUUAAUACAAAUGUUGCAAGCACAUAAAAAGCUGCAGCCCGUAUGAAGAGGGGAAUUAUUAGCUAAAAGAUAGCCGUCAGAUUUCGGAAGAUAAAUGAAAGGUGGAUCUGAACCUUGAAAUUGUCAGCUCAGCAGGAGGUUGCAAAGGCAGAGUGGUGAAAAGAGGGUCUCCUGCAGAACUCCCAAGAAGAUUGAAAUGGAUUGUGCAAUUCUGGAAGGGGACAAGAAACGGGCAAUACAAAG